ACGCUCGACACCUACGGGAGGCGCAGUGAGGAAUAUUGGUCAAUGGGCGCUAGCCUGAACCAGCCAAGUAGCGUGAAGGAUGAAGGCUCUAUGGGUCGUAAACUUCUUUUAUAUAAGAAUAAAGUGCAGUAUGUAUACUGUUUUGUAUGUAUUAUAUGAAUAAGGAUCGGCUAACUCCGUACCAGCAGCCGCGGUAAUCUGAGCGGGCUGGCAAGGC
rnacentral:rRNA from 1 species